rnacentral:rRNA from 1 species
AGCGAACGCUGGCGGCAGGCUUAACACAUGCAAGUCGAACGGGCACUUCGGUGCUAGUGGCAGACGGGUGAGUAACACGUGGGAACGUACCUUUCGGUUCGGAAUAAUCCAGGGAACUUGGACUAAUACCGGAUACGCCCUUCGGGGGAAAGAAUCAUCGCCGAUAGAUCGGCCCGCGUCUGAUUAGCUAGUUGGUGAGGUAAUUGCUCACCAACGCGACGAUCAGUAGAUGGUGUGAGAGGAUGAUCCGCCACAUUGAGACUGAGACACGGCCCGAACUCCUACGGGAGGCAGGAGUGGGGAAUAUUGGACCAUGGGCGCAAGCCUGAUCCAGCCCGGCCGCGUGAGUGAUGAAGGCCUUAGGGUUGUAAAGCUCUUUUGUCCGGGAAGAUAAUGACUGUACCGGAAGAAUAAGCCCCGGCUAACUUCGUG